rnacentral:rRNA from 1 species
UACAGAGGGGGCAAGCGUUAUUCGGAAUUAUUGGGCGUAAAGGGCGCGUAGGCGGCUUGGCAAGUGGAAGGUGAAAUCCCUCGGCUUAACCGAGGAACUGCCCUCCAAACUGCUUUGCUUGAGGCCGGGAGAGGUGAGUGGAAUUCCCCGAGUGUAGCGGUGAAAUGACGCAGAUAUCGAGGAGGAACACCGAUGGCGAAGGCAGGUCUCUGGGCAUUAACUGACGCUGAGGAGCGAAAGCAUGGGGAGCGAACAGG